GGCGUCUCCCACUACACAGUUUGAAGAGAAGCAUAGCUCAGCAGAACACGCCGGUCCACAAAAAAUGGAGCAGAGCUUUAUCAUGAUCAAGCCUGAUGGAGUUCAGAGAGGCCUGGUUGGAGAGAUCAUCAGUAGGUUUGAGAAGAAGGGCUUUUCUCUAAGAGGUUUGAAACUCAUGUCUGUGGAUCGUGCUUUUGCUGAGAAUCAUUACUCUGAUCUUGCUGGAAAGCCCUUUUUCAAUGGAUUGAUUGAAUACAUAAUUUCUGGCCCCGUCGUUGCAAUGAUCUGGGAGGGGAAAAAUGUUGUAGCAACUGGUAGGAAGAUCAUCGGAGCCACGAAGCCAGUAGAUUCUGAUGUGGGAACCAUCCG
rnacentral:misc_RNA from 1 species